rnacentral:rRNA from 1 species
AGGCUUAACACAUGCAAGUCGAGGGGCAGCACAGGUAGCAAUACCGGGUGGCGACCGGCGCACGGGUGAGUAACGCGUAUGCAACUUGCCUAUCAGAGGGGGAUAACCCGGCGAAAGUCGGACUAAUACCGCAUGAAGCAGGGGCCCCGCAUGGGGAUAUUUGCUAAAGAUUCAUCGCUGAUAGAUAGGCAUGCGUUCCAUUAGGCAGUUGGCGGGGUAACGGCCCACCAAACCGACGAUGGAUAGGGGUUCUGAGAGGAAGGUCCCCCACAUUGGUACUGAGACACGGACCAAACUCCUACGGGAGGCAGCAGUGAGGAAUAUUGGUCAAUGGCCGAGAGGCUGAACCAGCCAAGUCGCGUGAGGGAUGAAGGUUCUAUGGAUCGUAAACCUCUUUUAUAAGGGAAUAAAGUGCGGGACGUGUCCCGUUUUGUAUGUACCUUAUGAAUAAGGAUCGGCUAACUCCGUGCCAGCAGCCGCGGUAAUACGGAGGAUCCGAGCGUUAUCCGGAUUUAUUGGGUUUAAAGGGUGCGUAGGCGGCCUUUUAAGUCAGCGGUGAAAGUCUGUGGCUCAACCAUAGAAUUGCCGUUGAAACUGGGGGGCUUGAGUAUGUUUGAGGCAGGCGGAAUGCGUGGUGUAGCGGUGAAAUGCAUAGAUAUCACGCAGAACCCCGAUUGCGAAGGCAGCCUGCCAAGCCAUUACUGACGCUGAUGCACGAAAGCGUGGGGAUCAAACAGGAUUAGAUACCCUGGUAGUCCACGCAGUAAACGAUGAUCACUAGCUGUUUGCGAUACACUGUAAGCGGCACAGCGAAAGCGUUAAGUGAUCCACCUGGGGAGUACGCCGGCAACGGUGAAACUCAAAGGAAUUGACGGGGGCCCGCACAAGCGGAGGAACAUGUGGUUUAAUUCGAUGAUACGCGAGGAACCUUACCCGGGUUUGAACGCAUUCGGACCGAGGUGGAAACACCUUUUCUAGCAAUAGCCGUUUGCGAGGUGCUGCAUGGUUGUCGUCAGCUCGUGCCGUGAGGUGUCGGCUUAAGUGCCAUAACGAGCGCAACCCUUGCCACUAGUUACUAACAGGUUAGGCUGAGGACUCUGGUGGGACUGCCAGCGUAAGCUGCGAGGAAGGCGGGGAUGACGUCAAAUCAGCACGGCCCUUACAUCCGGGGCGACACACGUGUUACAAUGGCGUGGACAAAGGGAUGCCACCUGGCGACAGGGAGCGAAUCCCCAAACCACGUCUCAGUUCGGAUCGGAGUCUGCAACCCGACUCCGUGAAGCUGGAUUCGCUAGUAAUCGCGCAUCAGCCAUGGCGCGGUGAAUACGUUCCCGGGCCUUGUACACACCGCCCGUCAAGCCAUGGGAGCCGGGGGUACCUGAAGUCCGUAACCGAAAGGAUCGGCCUAGGGUAAAACUGGUGACUGGGGCUAAGUCG